rfam:Asian citrus Psyllid, Diaphorina citri - Florida Strain, whole genome shotgun sequence.
GCCUUGGUAGCUUAGUUGGUAGCGCGUUUGCCUUGUUAGUGCUAGGCCGCGGGUUAGAUUCCCGCCCGGGGCG